rnacentral:rRNA from 1 species
AGGACGAACCGGGGUGGAAGCAGAGUUGACGAACGUGUGUCGUAUUCAGAACUACAAUUUGUGGUUUGUUUUUACGAUCGAUGUGGGCUGGCGUCUUUGGUUAACUUAGUGUCUGGCGGCAAUGGUGACCCUGCGGAGGGAUAUCGGUUGUCGUGCGAUGCUUGGUAUGGCAGGUUCCUGGUCUUAUCAUCGCUUUAUCUGACCCGUCUUGAAACACGGACCAAGGAGUGUAGCGCUUACGCGAGUCUUAGAGUGUGUCAAAACUUUGAGGCGCGAAAGAUGUGGAUUUAUUCACUGACUUGGGAUGCGUGUCUUUUUUGGAUAGCGUUGGACCAUGGUUUUAUCGUAAUCGCUUGCGAUGCGGUGAAAAUAGAGCGUAAGCGGUGCGACCCGAAAGAUGGUGAACUAUGCCUGAGCAGGAUGAAGCCGGAGGAAACUCUGGUGGAAGUCCGAAGCGGUUCUGACGUGCAAAUCGAUCGUCUGACUUGGGUAGG